rnacentral:rRNA from 1 species
CCUACGGGUGACAGCAGUGAGGAAUAUUGGUCAAUGGACGCAAGUCUGAACCAGCCAUGCCGCGUGCAGGAAGAAGGCUCUAUGAGGGGUAAACUGCUGUUGUACGAGGGAAAACGCAGAUACGCGUAUAUGGCUGAAAGGAACGUACGAAUAAGGAUCGGCUAACUCCGUGCAAGCAGCCGCGGUAAUACGGAGGAGUCAAGCGUUUUCCGGAUUUCUUGGGUUUCCAGGGGGCGUCGGCGGUCGGAUAAGGUAGAGGUGCAAUCCCGAGGCUCAACUUCGGAAUUGCCUCUGAUACUGGUCGGCUAGAGCGUAGUUGCGGUAGGCGGCAUGUCUGGUGUAGCGGUGCACUGCUU